rnacentral:rRNA from 1 species
UACGUAGGGACCGAGCGUUGUCCGGAAUCAUUGGGCGUAAAGAGCGUGUAGGCGGCUUGUUAAGUCUUGCGUGAAAUCUCGGGGCUCAACCCCGAGCGGUCGUGAGAAACUGGCAGGCUAGAGUGCGGGAGAGGAGAGUGGAAUUCCUGGUGUAGCGGUGAAAUGCGCAGAUAUCAGGAAGAACACCCGUGGCGAAGGCGGCUCUCUGGACCAUAACUGACACUGAGGCACGAAAGCGUGGGUAGCAAACAGG